CCCUGAAUAUCGAGGAUGCGGAGGGACAAAUAAAGUGCAGUGGAAGGGCUAAGUUCACCCUUAGAGAUACACUAUGGUAGAACCUGCCGCUGGAUUUCUUUAUCCCCGAUGCUUGCCGUAACCUUCAUAGUCACAAUUAUUGUGUUUGAGUAGUGACAUGGUUAAUAAGAAAUACACUUUACUCAGAAGUAAUAUAUUCGAAAUCGACCGUUACUCUGCAAAUUUCGGAAAGUCAAGUAUUUAAAGGGUUUAACGAAUCUCCCCUUCUGUUUCCACCGUAUAGUUUGGACCUAUUUCGAUUUCCAACUCGUUGAUCCCAGACUCAUCGGUAUGCUGUUUGGUGCAAUGUAGUUCAUUUUUGCCAUACUGUAUAUAGGUCAAAAUUUAUUGCGAUUUGGUUAAGACACUUAUUAAUACAAUUUGAUAAAAUUAUUGCAUGAUUCUAAUGUGCAUUAAUAAACAAAAUAGGAAAAGUUGUUGACAUAAUUAAAUAUAUUUAUAACAGGUUCACAGUGACCUACUUAUCGACUAUGUGCUACUUUUUAUGAUUCGCAGCUUUAGUGAUACACAAUACAUCACAAUUAUGAAGAAACUUGAAAAACAAUAACAUGUAGUUUUGUCCAAAAGAGAACAUUUGUUUGUGAGUUUGGUCCCCCACUUUACCCCUUCAUAUUUCAGAAUGGUCUUCAAGCUGAACUUAAUAUCUGGUCAUGUCAUGAUGGCAUAACUCCAAGUUUGACUCACCGUGACAUCCAUUCAACGGUUCUACACAUCCAUCAUGUAGCGGUUCUUCGUCUCCCAUACACACCUAUAACAACACAGAACCGAAUUCGGAUGCUACAGAAGGGCGCCAUACGGUAAAACGAAAGAUUCCUUUUCUUGUAAACCAUCUGUAAUGAAUCCUUCCACGAAUACUGUACUUGGAAAACACGCUAUUGCUCAUGUUAUUGUUUGCAAUCGUUAAUAACGAACUGCUCUUUUAUUGAAAUAAACUUUUGAGACUUAUGGGUUAGAAUUCGUAGCAUAAAGUUAGAA